rnacentral:lncRNA from 12 species
CUCAGAGAAGCCAUGUGGCUCCAGCUCCGGGGAAAGCCGGCUUCCUGAGACAUGGAGAUGGCAAUGCCUCUCCUAUUCUUUCACUUGUCCAGGCACAGGGGCUGGGGGCAUGAACAGGUUUAGCCUGAGUGUGAAGGCACAGGAGAGGUUUGCCUCAGUGGAGGGCAAUCGCGCCGAGGCCUCUAAAGUCCAUGGCAACAGGAAUUCUGCCACUCCGGCUCCUGGUUUCUCAGGCCUGUCCCUGCUGGGAGAGGCCUCCUCGGUCUUCCACCUGCGUGGGCCUAUCUGGUUAACCACCCAAGGCACAGCCCGUCUUCUGAAACAAAGAGCGCCAGCCAGCUGCCUCUGCUCUCCCUCGGCCUUGGAGGAAGCGCUGUGACAAAGCCCGCAGGACGCCAAGCAGGCUAACUUUGAAGAUGAGCCUCCACUGGCUGCAUUAUGAGGCCAGCGACACUUAUCAGACUGAUAAUCUAAAGAUGCUUUUGCCCCUGGAGCAGUAUCUCAUUCCAGGGCAGCUGCACAGAGACCUCGGCACAGGCGUUUUGAGCCCUGCAGCCCAGCUAAGAGAUGCACCAGCUAAGAGACACACCCCGGGCUGUGGCUUCUCCUGCAGACUGGAAGAGAAUGGCCUCCAACAGGGAACAGACGCAUUGUGUUUCUCCCACUAGAGAAGAAGCAAUACUGAGCCUGCAUACUGGCCUUGGAGGGGACACAAUUAAACAUCAGCAGAUCUCAGAUUCGAACUAAAACACAAAACUUUCAGAAGUCUGGAAAAUCUUUUCUAUGCCAAAAUAACCAAUACUUUUGUCUCGAAGGACUUAGAAUCACAACCGGGGGCUGUUGAAAAAAAGAAUAAAGAAAGCAAUUAUGGCA